GAUGAAGAACGCAGUGAAAUGCGAUAAGUAAUGUGAAUUGCAGAAUUCAGUGAAUCAUCGAAUCUUUGAACGCACCUUGCGCCCUUUGGCUAUUCCGAAGGGCAUGCCUGUUUGAGUAUCAUGAACACCUCAACUCUCAUGGUUUGCCAUGAUGAGCUUGGACUUUGGGGGUCUUGCCGGCCUAUGGGUCGGCUCCUCUCAAAUUAAUCAGCUUGCCAGUGUUUGGUGGCAUCACAGGUGUGAUAACUAUCUACGCUUGUGGUUUUCCAUCAGGUAACCUUCAGUGAUGGAGGUUCGCUGGGGCUCAUAAAUGUCUCUCCUCAGUGAGGACAGCUUUUUUGAACGUUUGAUCUCAAAUCAAGUAAGACUACCCGCUGAACUUAAGCAUAUCAAUAAGCGGAGGA
rnacentral:misc_RNA from 1 species